rnacentral:rRNA from 1 species
GACGAACGCUGGCGGCGUGCCUAAUACAUGCAAGUUGAGCGCUGAAGGUUGGUACUUGUACCAACUGGAUGAGCAGCGAACGGGUGAGUAACGCGUGGGGAAUCUGCCUUUGAGCGGGGGACAACAUUUGGAAACGAAUGCUAAUACCGCAUAAAAACUUUAAACACAAGUUUUAAGUUUGAAAGAUGCAAUUGCAUCACUCAAAGAUGAUCCCGCGUUGUAUUAGCUAGUUGGUGAGGUAAAGGCUCACUAAGGCGAUGAUACAUAGCCGACCUGAGAGGGUGAUCGGCCACAUUGGGACUGAGACACGGCCCAAACGCCUACGGGAGGCAGCAGUAGGGAAUCUUCGGCAAUGGACGAAAGUCUGACCGAGCAACGCCGCGUGAGUGAAGAAGGGUGUCGGAUCGUAAAACUCGGUUGGUAGAGAAGAACGUUGGUGAGAGUGGAAAGCUCAUCAAGUGACGGUAACUACCCAGAAAGGGACGGCUAACUACGUG